rnacentral:rRNA from 1 species
GACGAACGCUGGCGGCGUGCUUAACACAUGCAAGUCGAACGGAAAGGCCCUGCUUUUGUGGGGUGCUCGAGUGGCGAACGGGUGGGUAACACGUGAGUAACCUGCCCUUGACUUUGGGAUAACUUCAGGAAACUGGGGCUAAUACCGGAUAGGAGCUCCUGCUGCAUGGUGGGGGUUGGAAAGUUUCGGCGGUUGGGGAUGGACUCGCGGCUUAUCAGCUUGUUGGUGGGGUAGUGGCUUACCAAGGCUUUGACGGGUAGCCGGCCUGAGAGGGUGACCGGCCACAUUGGGACUGAGAUACGGCCCAGACUCCUACGGGAGGCAGCAGUGGGGAAUAUUGCACAAUGGGCGGAAGCCUGAUGCAGCAACGCCGCGUGCGGGAUGACGGCCUUCGGGUUGUAAACCGCUUUCGCCUGUGACGAAGCGUGAGUGACGGUAAUGGGUAAAGAAGCACCGGCUAACUACGAG